AUAUUCCUGGCAGAACCGCAGAACACUCGGGCCGGUGAUUCGGGCCGGAUUGCUGCGCGCAGGUCGACGCCCUCUAACUGACAUCUGGGCCCCAAGUGGUGUAACUCGACAGGUACGGGUGACCUGGCGCGGGUAAGCUGGACGUGAGAGUAAAAAAGGAAAUACAGAAAUGGGCGUGGGGUCUCAUGGCCGCUUAUUUAUUCUCCUUCUCUGGGUCCUAAUAAACACUGGCGCGACGCGACACGCACUCGAGAUGUGCCCCGAGAAACUGGCCCGUAGGCCCCGCCGAAGGGAGAGCCCUCGUCCAAUUGAUCGUCCUCGCUUUUUGUACUCUGCCCGUCGUAUCGUGUGGAACAUAGAAUUGACAGCCGUGUGCACGGUGAUGUGGUGAUUGGUGAUUCUUUACUGCUACUUAAUUUGCAGUUGCGUCCGUGGUAGACUGGUAGGCUCGUACGUCCAUCAUUUAAAUGAAAUUACAUCGAUACCACCGCCCAGGCGCCCACCCAGAUCGCUCUCCUCAGCCCUCGACCAAACCAUCUCACCCCACCCAUAACCCAUUCCCUCCCAUCGCCCCAUCGCCGCCGCCCACACCUUCACCUUCCCCUGCAGCACGCAGGCGCUCCUCCCCUACCCUGGCACGCCGCCCAUCCCCGUGUUCCGCAUGGACCUCGUCAGAUCUCCGACCACCGCCGCCUCCUCCCGGAGCACCCACCCCUUGCUCCCUGCUCCUCUGGGUCGCCCCUUCCUCCUCCCUGUUCCUCCACCUCCCGCUUCUUGGUGGCAUGAGGGCCUCCGUUGCGACCCCGACCUCGCUGCCACCCAUCCCCUGGCCACGGCGACGCCCCUCGCCCUGCGUGCGCUACGACUUCCAAGCCGCCGCCGAUGGCAAAAAGAUGGUAAGCGGCGGGAUCAACCGGAACACGCCACCAGCCCGGCCGGCGAUGUCGUCCAGCAGGUUCUCGCCGGCGCUGCAGGCGUCCGAUCUCAACGACUUCAUCACCCGUCCGUCGCCUCCUGGGGACCACCGCCUCGCCUGAGGGUUGUUAAUUGUCCUGAACGCUACAAUUUGCAGGGUACUGGAAGUUUUCUUAAGAUGCUGAAGGUUCCUUGCUACUUAAGUUUCAAGGAGAUGAAGGGCUCAUGGGAGCAAAGGGGAGGACAAGAGAGUUACUAGAUACAACUAGAGAUCACAUGGAACCCAAGAACAAGAUGUGGGCUUAUCAUUAAAGGAGAAGCUCCAACAUUACACAGCGAAGAGUUACAGGGGAUGUAUAGAAACCAACCAAAUACACAUGGAAGAGUUACAGGGGGAUGCAUGAUUUCCCUAUUUGUGUUGAUGGGAUAUAUCAGAAGCUGGCAUAUGUUUUCAAGUUGAAGAAUGGAGUUGUGAUUGCUAAAGUUGAUGUUCCCAUGCUCUGGCAUUGUGUUCAGGCUAGAGGCAUCCAAGGUUGGUGAGCAUCUAUACGUCCAACCUCUGCAGCACGAUGCCAUAGGAUGGCUUAACUUGGGGCCGAUGGACGAUGGAGGAUCCAGAGGAGGGAGCACGUGAAGAGAAACACACAGAAGUUGCACAAGCACACACGGAUUUACCCAGGUUCGGAGCCCUCUUGCCGAGGUAAAACUCCUACUCCUGCUUUGUUGUAUUAGCCGAGAUAGAGAAGCUCUACAAUGGCGCUCCUUGAGGUGUAUUCUUGAAGAAGAAGAAGAAGAAGAAGAAGAAGAAGAAGAAGAAGAAGCAGAAGGAGGAGGAGGAGGAGGAGAAAUCCUAAAGGUCUAAGUGCAACCCUCCUUUCUACAGAGGGGUGGCAUCGUAGGGGACAAGACAACUUUACUUUUUCCUGGCACCCUGCAGAAAGUAUUGCUAUCCUCUGCCGGCUUCCGUUAGAGAUUUUCUUUCGGUGCUUCCUCUCUGCAGUUGCCUGGCAUCGGUACGUAGGUGCUGAUCGCUUUUCCUGAGAUGAUGAUGGCGCUGCUUUACUUUGCACCGCGUGGUCAGGAUAAGACCGUUGAGAGAU